UGGGGAAUUUUGGACAAUGGGGGCAACCCUGAUCCAGCAAUGCCGCGUGUGUGAAGAAGGCCUUCGGGUUGUAAAGCACUUUUGUCCGGGAAGAAAUCGCACCUGAUAAUACCGGGUGUGGAUGACGGUACCGGAAGAAUAAGGACCGGCUAACUACGUGCCAGCAGCCGCGGUAAUACGUAGGGUCCAAGCGUUAAUCGGAAUUACUGGGCGUAAAGCGUGCGCAGGCGGUUGUGCAAGACCGAUGGGAAAUCCCCGGGCUUGACCUGUGAAUUGCAUUGUUGAUUGAACGGCUAGAGUGUGUCAGAGGGGGGUAGAAUUCCGCGUGUAGCAGUGAAAUGCGUAGGGAUGUGGAGGAAUACCGAUGGCGAAGGCUGCCCCCUGUGAUAACACUGACGCUCAUGCACGAAAGCGUGGGGAGCAAACAGG
rnacentral:rRNA from 1 species